AUUGAACGCUGGCGGCAGGCCUAACACAUGCAAGUCGAACGAGUGGCGGACGGGUGAGGAAUGACUGGGAAACUGCCUGAUGGAGGGGGAUAACUACUGGAAACGGUAGCUAAUACCGCAUACCAUCAGAUGUGCCCAGAUGGGCUUAGCUGGUUGGUGGGGUAACGGCUCACCUAGGCGACGAGCCCUAUCUGGUCUGAGAGGAUGACCAGUCACAUCGGAACUGAGACCCGGUCAAGACUCCUACGGGCGGCAGGAGUGGGGAUUAUUGCACAAUGGGCGAAAGCCUGCUGCAGCAAUGCCGCGUGUAUGAAGAAGGUCUGCGGGUUGUAAAGUACUUUCAGCGGGGAGGCGUUACCCGGAGAAGAAGCACCGGAUAGCUCCGUGCCAGCAGCCGCGGUAAUUC
rnacentral:rRNA from 1 species